GAUUGCUAUGUGAAAUUGGUGGAUGGGGGGGUGGCGGGAAGCAUGCAACAGGUGGUGCCGUGGUUGUCGCAAAUCAAGCAACGACGAGUAAUUGUGAUAGUUUCUAAAUUGAUGAUAGUUGUGCUUCAUUUUGAAUUGUGUUAUCAUGAAUCAUUUCUAGUUAUAGUUCUUAAAUCUUUGUGUGGAUUGGUUAAUUGAAGUCAUUAGUUAUUCUUUUGCCAUAUAUGGCUAGCUUGGUACGGAGUAGUAAAUUUUGGUUAGUUGUGUUAAGAUCUUUUGAAAUUUGGCUCAUAUAGAGUAAUUGCAUAUUGAAUACAAGUAUUUGUUUUAGCUGUAUUUUAGUCCUGCUUUUAUUUUAUUAUAAUUAUUAUCAUUUUUUCUGGUUUUACAGGUCAGGGAUAUGGUUCUGUCAUUCCUGAUGCUCCACAGGCAGAAGCACAUUCUUUAACUAAGGCAUUAGCAGAAAAAGUAGGAAAGCAUGUAGAGCAGUAUGUAGAAGCCACGGAGAAGGUUAAGCUAAAGCAGGGACUUAAAACUGCAAUGGCUGUUUCAAGUGAAGGAAAUGCAUAUUUACAGAAAGAUGAGGAAAUAGAAAUUUUAUCGCGAUAAGUUUGCUAGAAGUCAAGCGGACAGGGCUCUGAAAGCUGCUGCAAAAAAGACUGCUAAGCAGUUGAAAAAAACAAAAAUAUCAGAUCUGGAUUCUAAGGAAUUUGGCCAAUUUUCUUAGUAAAUUAUCUUUCACAUUCUUUUUUGCUGUAAGCCUGUAUGUAGCAGUGUAGACUAAUCAAUGUUCAGUAGGACUAUAGGAUUUCCUGCUUUGAACUUUCAUCGGGUAAGGGUGUUAGUGUAGGGUUUCGUAGUGACCCGACACUACGCGGAAGGAAACCCACCAAGACCCGCCCCUUAA